AUAGAUGGACUUACAUCUAACUCCACAAAACAAAACAGGAAACAGAAAGCCAAUCAAUGGUCUUACAUCUAACUCCACAAAACAAAUAGGAAACAGAAAGCCAAUAGCUGGACUUACAUCUAACUCCACAAAUCAAAACAGGAAACAGAAAGCCAAUCAAUGGUCUUACAUCUAACUCCACAAAACAAAUAGGAAACAGAAAGCCAAUAGCUGGACUUACAUCUAGCUCCACAAAAGAAACAAACAUGCAUGAAAGCAAACAUAUGAAUGAUUCACAAAUAAGCAAACAAGAAAUCAAGUAUCACACUCUAUACACAAACAAGAGGCUCAUAC
rnacentral:lncRNA from 1 species